UUAUUAGUUUUAGUUUUUUGUAAUGGGGUUUUAUUUGUUGGGUGGGAGAUUAAAAGAGGUCACAGUAAAUUUUGCCUUUAUUUCCUUUGUCUGAUCCAUCUUCAUUAUGUAUGAAAAAAGUUGACAAAGACGAAAACGAAGGACAUUUUCACUAUAAUUUUAGUUAGUUUUGUAACCACACAAUACAGUUUCAAUUAAUUAUCAUUAUCAUGUGACCUUUAACCCUUAAAACAAAGUCUGAAAUCUCAAAAAAGC